CCAGGCUGUCCAAAUGAUCGCCGGGUCGCAUCAGACUCGGAGGAAAGUCCGAACACCGCAGGGCAGGGUGCUUUGUAAUCCAAAGUCGCGGCAACGUGAAGGAAAGUGCAACAGAAAAUAUACCGCCUUCGGAUUCCGGAGUGCAAAAAUGCAAUUUUUGCAUUCACCUGAAAUCCCCAAGGUAAGGGUGAAAUGGUGUCGGUAAGAGCGCACCAGUUCUCCGGGUGACCGGAGAAGCUUUGUAAACCCCACCCGGUGCAAAACCAAAUAGAGGAGCGUCUGAGGGCUGCCCGUCCGAGCUCCCGGGUAGGUUGCAGGAGAUGCCGGGCAACCGGCGUCCGCAGAUGAAUGAUCAUUGCCCGGUUCGGAGUAAUCCGGACCGGGAACAGAAUUCGGCUUAGGGACAGCCGGGGCCG
rnacentral:RNase_P_RNA from 2 species